UACAGAGGUCUCAAGCGUUGUUCGGAUUCAUUGGGCGUAAAGGGUGCGUAGGCGGCUUGUCACGUCGGGUGUGAAAGCCCGGGGCUUAACCCCGGGUCUGCAUUCGAUACGGGCUAGCUAGAGUGUGGUAGGGGAGAUCGGAAUUCCAGGUGUAGCGGUGAAAUGCGUAGAUAUCUGGAGGAACACCGAUGGCGAAGGCAGCUGCCUGGCCCAGAACUGACGCUGAGGUGCGAAAGCGUGGGGAGCGAACGGGG
rnacentral:rRNA from 1 species